UCAAAUAUUAGUCGAUUUAGUUCUGAGUUCAUGGUACUUUUACAGGUUGUCUGUUGAGAAAUAUCCGACAAGUCCUAUGCUUGGUCAACGGGAAAUCGUCGAUGGGAAGGCUGGCAAGUACACGUGGCUAACAUACAAAGAGGUAUAUGAUCUGGUGAUUAAAAUUGGAAAUUCUAUCCGCAGCUGUGGUUAUGGAGAAGGUGUAAAAUGUGGUAUUUAUGGUGCCAAUUGUGCAGAAUGGAUUAUGAGCAUGGAGGUACAUUUUUUUUAUUUUUUAUUUUUAUAAUUUCCUCCCCCAUUGU